rnacentral:rRNA from 1 species
GGGCCAGACUCCUACGGGAGGCAGCAGUGGGGGAUAUUGCACAAUGGGGGGAACCCUGAUGCAGCGACGCCGCGUGGGUGAAGAAGCGCCUCGGCGCGUAAAGCCCUGUCAGCAGGGAAGAAAAUGACGGUACCUGACUAAGAAGCCCCGGCUAACUACGUGCCAGCAGCCGCGGUAAUACGUAGGGGGCAAGCGUUAUCCGGAUUUACUGGGUGUAAAGGGAGCGUAGACGGCGGCGCAAGCCAGAUGUGAAAGCCCGGGGCUCAACCCCGGGACUGCUCUUGGAGCUGCAUGGCUGGAGUACAGGAGGGGCAGGCGGAAUUCCUAGUGUAGCGGUGAAAUGCGUAGAUAUUAGGAGGAACACCGGUGGCGAAGGCGGCCUGCUGGACUGUGACUGACGUUGAGGCCCGAAGGCGUGGGGAGCAAACAGGAUUAGAUACCCCCGUAAGG